AACGAACGCUGGCGGCAGGCUUAACACAUGCAAGUCGAACGCACCUUCGGGUGAGUGGCGCACGGGUGAGUAACGCGUGGGAAUGUACCCUUUAGUACGGAAUAGCCUCGGGAAACUGGGAUUAAUACCGUAUACGCCCUUCGGGGGAAAGAUUUAUCGCUAAAGGAUCAGCCCGCGUGAGAUUAGAUUGUUGGUGGGGUAACGGCCUACCAAGUCGACGAUCUCUAGCUGGUCUGAGAGGAUGAUCAGCCACACUGGUACUGAGACACGGACCAGACUCCUACGGGAGGCAGCAGUGGGGAAUAUUGGUCAAUGGGGGCAACCCUGAACCAGCCAUGCCGCGUGAGUGAUGAAGGCCUUAGGGUUGUAAAGCUCUCUUAUGAGGGAAGAUGAAGACGGUACCUCAAGAAUAAGCCCCGGCUAACUUCGUGCCAGCAGCCGCGGUAA
rnacentral:rRNA from 1 species